GUUAGUCCUUGCAGAACAUCAAUUCUGCUAAUUGCCCUUAUGUUUGUAAUCCUGAUAUCUUUACCGUAGCUGCCUAAGUCAGGGGGUGGAAAAAUCCUUGGGAGAGUUAUCAAGGAACAAUUAAUAAUCCCUUCCUCUCCUACAAGUAGCCACUCGAUGACUUGGUAUCACUCACAAGACGACAGAAGGCAAAGGAAUGUUGGCGUUCUGCCACCUUAUAAAGCUCACUUCUUCUUCCACUGAAUUCUGAUGCCAGCGCUUGUCUGAAGGUUGAGCAGGAAGGACUCAAAAAGGGAAUGGGCACUGGCUGACCAGACUCACAGCAAAUAAAAAGUAGUCUCCAGAUAUCAGUCAGUGCCUUCCUACAGAGAGCAAAAACUUUGAAACUCAGUGAAAGCCAUUCAUUUUCCACCUUGCAUUACUUAGAAAUACCUUUCAUCCAAGUUUUUAAGUAUUCCUGGGGGAGAAGAGAACCUAGAAGUGGUUGACCUAGAAACAAUUCAGCCUUACAGAGAUGCCGGAGCCCAGACAUUAGCCAAAGCCAAGAGGGACCUUUUAGUGCCAUUUAUAACUAGAUCAAUAUGUCAACUGGUCCUGCCCUCACCUCACUCAAGUUUCUGUCGGAAUUGAAAGAUUAACCCAGAAACAAAAACUGCCAGAAGCAGCAGCGGCCAUAGACAGUGUGAGGGAAGGAUCUGUUUCUCAAGUCUUCCUUUUCCUUCUUUGAGGGUGCAAGACAAGUAGCUGAGUACCUGCUUAAGCUUCCUUUUUAUUCUCAAAGACCAGCAAAACGCCUAGCAAUAGAAAUACUCAACCGCCGUUUGUCACAUAAAAGAAUGGAUAAAUCACCAAAGAGUCACUUAGAGGCCUGGAAGGAGUAGAAUUUAUAGAACUCACCCAGUCUACUCCACUCGGCCAAAGGGGUGCUCUUUGCUAAUGUCAAUCAAGGAGUCCAGAGCAAAAGGAAAAGUGUGUACCAUUAGCUGAAACGAUACACUUUCAUCGAGUCAGUUGACAAACACACCUGCAGCAUGCCAGGCCACCUAUCAGGCCCUUGGACACAACACGAACAUUGACUGUCAUCAAAGUUUGGCUUCGUUGAAA
rnacentral:lncRNA from 1 species